rnacentral:rRNA from 1 species
CCUACGGGAGGCAGCAGUGAGGAAUAUUGGUCAAUGGGCGCGAGCCUGAACCAGCCAAGUAGCGUGAAGGAUGACUGCCCUACGGGUUGUAAACUUCUUUUAUAAAGGAAUAAAGUGAGGCACGUGGGCCGUUUUGUAUGUACGUUAUGAAUAAGGAUCGGCUAACUCCGUGCCAGCAGCCGCGGUAAUACGGAGGAUCCGAGCGUUUUCCGGAUUUAUGGGGGUUAAAGGGAGCGUAGAGGGGUUGUUAAGUCAGUGGGGAAAGUUGGCGGCUCAACCGUAAAAUUGCAAUUGAUACUGGCAGUCUUGCGUACCGUUGCGGUCGGCGGACUUCGUGUUGUAGCGGUG